rnacentral:lncRNA from 1 species
GUCAGGAAAUGGGUAGUAGUAUUACUAUUAGUAUGAAUCAGUAAUAGCAGUAGCAUAUUAGUAGUGAGGAGUAGUGGUGUAGUAAGGGCUGUAUAGUCAUUUUCCCAUUAAUUCUGUUAAGUCUAGCUAGUCCAGCUGUCAUGUGUCUGUACUUGUGUGUUGUCUAUAAAUAGGAGUGUGGAGUUGUAAAUGAGAUUAUGCAUAUUAUGAAAUACAACUUCUUCUCCAAGUUUCUCUCUCUCUUCUCUCUAACUGAUUUUCCCUCUCUUUCUCUCUCUAAACUCUGUCUCUCUCUCCUGAUCUGAUCUCUCUCUCUCAUUUCUCUCUCAAUUCUCCAUCUCUCUGCCUCAAUUCACCUCUGCUUAGCUAUAAUCUACUGUUCUACUACUGGAUUUCCUGUUAUUUCAGUUCAUAAACACAGAAAACACCAAAAAUAGCUUUGUCAUACAUUGAAGGCAUGACAAAUUGGUAUCAGAGCACUUAAAUUAGAUCCAGCCACUGCUUCUAUCUCACUGUGCUACUCAAAACGACUGGAACGGUUGUGGAAUCACUGCAAUCGCAUAAGUAAAUCUGUAGAAUUGAUCAAAACAGUCCAGGUACUCUGUUCUGUGACUUUUCUUUUAGAUCUGAGAUUUCUGUUGAUUGCUUUGGAGUUUACUGUUAAGAUUCUAUAGAUUACAGUCGUUUUUGUUAGUAUAUACUGUUAGAGUAUUUGUUGUUGAGAUUUGUGUGUUUUGGGAGAUUGUAUUGCUGUUUGGUGAAGUAAUUGAGACAAUUCAGUGAAACUGAAGUCAUCUGUGAGGCAUGAUGAAUGACAUGGUAGUUUAUGAAGGUGUGGACACAGAAUUUGAUAAGGCUGUGUUAGGACUCAGGCAACAGCUUAAGGAUGAUGAGGAAGCUUUAGAACAGAAGCUUGUAAAGCUGGAGUCUAGUAUUGCAGUGGCAAAGCAACUGAUGGAGAGAUUCCUGAAAACAACAGCUGAUAAAGCUAAGAAGCAAGCAUCACUGGGUAGCACAAGAAAUGUGCAAGGUUUACAACAUCUUAAGCUCAGUUUCCCUAAGUUCAGUGAAGGUGAUGAUGUGGAAGACUGGUUACAGGACUGUAAUCAGUACUUUGAGGUAUUUGGAGUCAAUGAGAGGAAGAAAGUGACAGUUGCAGGAAUGCAUUUGGAAGGAACUGCCAGGAGUUGGUACCACAUCUACUCCCUUCAUAAUUCCAUUUGUGAGUGGAAAAACUUUGCUGAACAAAUAACUCAGAGGUUUGGACUGAUGGAUCAGGAGUUACUUAUGGAGAAUUUCAAUCAACUUAAGCAAGUUGAUUCCCUAGAACAGUACUACAAUGAAUUUGAGGGGUAUGUGGUGCAAUUAAGGGAGAAGAUUCCUUCAUUGACUGAUGCAUAUUUCCUAGAGAGCUUCAUUGGAGGAAUGCAGAAAGAGAUUCAGCAAGAUAUUAGAAUUCUUACUCCUACAACUAGGGAAGCAGCUUAUCAGAUGGCUAGAUAUCUAGAGCAAAUAAGGAGCGGUAAUGAGAAAGAAAACCAACAAGUCACUAAGGCACCAGAUAAGGAGAAGCAAAUAGUUGCUAAGGGCAACUUGUUACAGUUGAAAAGUUCUGAUAAGAAUGAAGAAAUAUUAAAGGAGGAUACACCUGGAGAGGUGGUGUUAGAUACAGAAGAGUUGUUGUCAGGUGAAGAUGUAAAUUCUCAACCAAUGAAGGAAAUGGUUGCCAAUUGUAAUCAGCUGAUGAGCAACUAUGAAAUCUGCACAAAUGUAAGCUCAAUGGAGCUGGCUGGAUCUGUCUACAUACAAGACUUACAACAGGGAAAGGGUAAUGACAAUCUAAAAUCUGAGAUGACAAUCCAGUUAGAAGAAUUGUCAUCAAUCAUUCCUACAAGCAGAAAGGUGCAAAAUAAGCCAUCGAAAGGUGUUUACAACCAGUUCAAAGAUAUGAACAGAAGUAAAGUGAAACUAGAAGUUGCAGUAAAAGUUUCUGUGGGCAAUCAACUUAGGUACUGGUUGGAUACUAGUUUGGAUUUUCUAGUCAUGGAGAAGCUAUUGCUGGAACCAUCUCAACUGCAAUGGAAGGUCUAUAUCUUUGAGAUUGGGAAUGCAGAUAGAUUGCAAAGCCAAGGCCAGAAUAGUCAACAAGAGGGUGAUUAUGGGUUUGGCAAUAUUAUUAGUGAAAGCCAUCAGAAAAAGGUUGAUUAUGGGAGAACUGGGGUUGUACUACCCUACAAGUGCCAAAAUAUGGUGCUGGAAAAUGGCAGACUUGAAAUGCACAAGUCAAGGGGACCUGAAUACCAUGGAUUAAGUAACAGUGUUGCCAUAUGUAUAUUUGAUCCAGGAGGAAGAUUAAGUUGCUUUCAUGGUGUUCUAGUUGCUGUUCUUGUUGGGAUUUUACUAGUUCAGUAUAUGUUGCUUGAGACAUUACUUCAGUCAUUAUCCAAGCUGCCAGCUAAGGCAACUGAACAAAAGAAGGAACCUUUUCAAUUGCACAAGGAGGUGUUUGACACUAAACUUUACAAUUUAGCUGGAGUUCAAAGUCAGAAUGUCCAAGGGAGUGCAGGAGCUGAUAUGAUUUUGAUUGAAAAUAAUCAACAAUAUGAUCCUGUGAGAGAUGGAAUGAUUGUACAACUAAUGAGGACUGAAGUCAUUGAAGCUUGGAGAAGAAAGUAUACAAUAACCAUCUUUGAUCCAGGAGGGCAGAAAGGUGGCAUUAUCAUAUACAUAAGUGGAGUGGGAAAGAUCAACCAUGAGGACAUGGUUAUUUUUAAGGGGGAAGGAUUGUCAGGAAAUGGGUAGUAGUAUUACUAUUAGUAUGAAUCAGUAAUAGCAGUAGCAUAUUAGUAGUGAGGAGUAGUGGUGUAGUAAGGGCUGUAUAGUCAUUUUCCCAUUAAUUCUGUUAAGUCUAGCUAGUCCAGCUGUCAUGUGUCUGUACUUGUGUGUUGUCUAUAAAUAGGAGUGUGGAGUUGUAAAUGAGAUUAUGCAUAUUAUGAAAUACAACUUCUUCUCCAAGUUUCUCUCUCUCUUCUCUCUAACUGAUUUUCCCUCUCUUUCUCUCUCUAAACUCUGUCUCUCUCUCCUGAUCUGAUCUCUCUCUCUCAUUUCUCUCUCAAUUCUCCAUCUCUCUGCCUCAAUUCACCUCUGCUUAGCUAUAAUCUACUGUUCUAUUACUGGAUUUCCUGUUAUUUCAGUUCAUAAACACAGAAAACACCAAAAAUAGCUUUGUCAUACAUUGAAGGCAUGACAAAU